GAUGAACGCUACCGGCGUGCCUAAUACAUGCAAGUCGAGCGAAGCUGGGACGGGUGAGUAACACUUUGAUAACCUCCUAUAAGACUGGGAUAACUUCGGGAAACGAGAGCUAAACCGGAUACUUAUAGAUGGACCCGCGCUGCAUUGGCUAGUUGGUAAGGUAACGGCUUACCAAGUCAACGAUGCAUAGCCGACCUGAGAGGGCGCUCGGCCACCGUGUAACUAGGACACGGUCCAGACUCCUCCGGGAGGCCGCAGUAGGGAAUCUUCCGCACUGGACGCAAGCCUGACGCAGCAAAGUCGCGUGACUGAUGAAAAUCUUCGGAUCGUAAAACUCUUUUAUUAGGACAGCGGUACCUAAUCGGAAAGCCGCGGCUAACUUCGUGCCAGCCGCCGCGGUAAUUC
rnacentral:rRNA from 1 species